ensembl:lncRNA
UGUAAAACCAUGUCCUACAUAGGAGUUUGUUUGACCUGUUAGCCAUCUUCCAUGUUUUAGACCUCUGGCAGAGGUGUCUUUGGGGGACAUUGGUCAGCAGCACAAGAAACGUCACAGAAGUCCUCCAGCAAAAUAGAUGAGGAGGGCCUAGAACUUGCAGUUUGCCAGCAUGGUGUUCUUCUUUGUGCCCUUAAUAUGUUCAGGGGGAGGUUUUUGCUUACCCCUGUACCUCCAGAAAAAAAAUGGCUUGUAAGCCGGUGAAAUUUUUUGCUAUGGAUGUUGCGUGCAAGUACUGGCCUUACCUCCAGAGAGGGAACGAGAGAUGCCCUGAGCUUCAGGAUCUGCUCUCAAUGAAGCCAUUUCUAUCAGUGUUUCAUGCCAAAGCCCACGACUUCAAAUGUGAGGUAAGAAAAUGUGACUUUUCAUGUGAUGUUCUUUCCCUAAACAUAAUAUUGUUGCCACUUAGAUUUAUUAUUUUUUUCUUUUUUUAUUUGAAGGUAAAAUGGAGUGGGGCAUACCAGGAGGGGGCUGGUUUGACUCUUGGGGAGGAGGUGGAGCAAUGCAAUGCCUUCCUCUCGAGGAUUGCUGUUACGACAAAGCACAUGUCAAAAGCAGGACGCACAGACAUGCUCACAGUCAUGGCCAUGUGCUGGAAUCAGCAAAAGUUUAACAACUUGGCUUCAACACUUGCCUGCCGAUAUCAAAAGGCCACAAUAGCUCUGCAAAGACAGUUGCAUAAUUUGGAGGCCAUGAAAACUGAAAUGGCAGUUACAGAUGAUCAACUGGAGGGCUGGAUCACUGAUGUCAAUGAGUGGGCAGAAGCAACAACAUCCCCAAAUGAUGCUGAUGUUGCUGUUGUGGCCAGACGAAUUGAGGAGCUGGUCACCAAGGAGGUCCCAACGUCUUUAUAAAGACAUUGAUGGCUGCAAAGGUCGUGUCCGGAUACGCCAAAAGAUCAGGGAGGAAAAGAAAUGUUUAAUUCUGUGGUGGAUCAAUAUAACACCAUGGUCCCUAAUGCAGAAAACCUGGACUUGGACACCAUACUUUCAGACGACACCCUUUGGCCAUGGCAGCUUCCACAUGGUGAUAUGUACACAAGUCCAUUGACGUGAAAUACGUCUCGAAGUAGCACAAUGUUUUUGUUUUUUUUUAGCAAUGUUUACCCAGAUAAUCAAAGAAAACCUUUAAAUACUAAUCUUAAAAUCAACUGAUUUAUGUAUUCCAGACUCCGUAGGUCUAAGGACAAAGAGAAAGGCAUUUGACACAGUGAUGGCAGUAAGGAGACUUGAGGAGGAGAAGAGGAUUCUCAUUGCUGAGAUGGAAAAACACUGGAAAUCUCUUUGCACCGUGCAGACACUCCAAAGGAGAUGACAUCCCAGCUUUGCAGUGGGACAUCAAGUGAGAUGUGGGGCCUGAGUAAUGAGGGAAUCCAAGGUCUGCAGAGCUUAAUGAUGAAGAACACACAAGCCAUCAACAAAAUACUGAAGUGCAACAUCCAAUUUCCGUACAUGUGUUUACAUCAUUGUUUAGAUAACUCUCAAAAGAUCUUUUUUUCAGUCCAGUAUCAAUGAUUUCUAGAAAAAUACAUUUUGACAUGAGUUUCUUCAUGGUCGAACUCACAUGGCCUUUAGCACAGAUAAGUCUUCUCAAUAAAAUUCUUCUAAGCCCAGUAUACAGUACCUCUAACCUGCAUCUUUGAUUGGUAUGUCUUGCUGUGUUGAUAGAUAUUUGUUGCCAUUGGUCCAGGAGCUGUAUAACCACAUCAUGGAGGUUGGAGGUCUCAUAAACCCAGCAGUUAAAGGGGAUGUGUGUCGCGCAGAAAAAACUAAUGACAAUCUGGAAGCUGUGCUAAAUUGAACAUUUACCCUUAUUGUUAUAACCAUCAAUUCAAUGAUUCAAUUAUAAAAUGAUUUCGUUUUUAAGCUUAACUAUACUUGACUUAUUUUUCUUAUUUUCUGUCACAGAUUGUCCUUAUUUGUGUUAAUUGUAAUCUGUUUUUUUUCCUCUAUGUUUAUGAACUGGGACUGAAUACUCUGUAACCCAAC